UUUAAUUAAAAAUAUUUUUAGUUAAUUAAUAAACUUGUUUGGGGAAAAAUUUAAUUCAAAUAUUAAUUAAAUAAGAAUGUAGAUCUAAUUUUAAUUUCAAGAGAUAGUUACUCUAGGGAUAACAGCGUUAUUUAUUAUGAAGGUCUAAUUUAAUAAUAAGUUUGCGACCUCGAUGUUGAAUUAGAUAAACUGACCAGAGCAAAAAUUGGCCUGUAGGUGAUUGUUCGUCACUUUAUAAUCU
rnacentral:rRNA from 1 species